rnacentral:rRNA from 1 species
GAUGAACGCUGGCGGCGUGCCUAAUACAUGCAAGUCGAGCGAACAGACGAGGAGCUUGCUCCUCUGACGUUAGCGGCGGACGGGUGAGUAACACGUGGAUAACCUACCUAUAAGACUGGGAUAACUUCGGGAAACCGGAGCUAAUACCGGAUAAUGUAUUGAACCGCAUGGUUCAAUAGUGAAAGACGGUUUUGCUGUCACUUAUAGAUGGAUCCGCGCCGCAUUAGCUAGUUGGUAAGGUAACGGCUUACCAAGGCAACGAUGCGUAGCCGACCUGAGAGGGUGAUCGGCCACACUGGAACUGAGACACGGUCCAGACUCCUACGGGAGGCAGCAGUAGGGAAUCUUCCGCAAUGGGCGAAAGCCUGACGGAGCAACGCCGCGUGAGUGAUGAAGGUCUUCGGAUCGUAAAACUCUGUUAUUAGGGAAGAACAAAUGUGUAAGUAACUAUGCACGUCUUGACGGUACCUAAUCAGAAAACCACGGCUAACUACGU